GACGAACGCUGGCGGCGUGCUUAACACAUGCAAGUCGAACGGUGAAGCGCCUUCCUUUUUGGUGGGUGUGGAUGAGUGGCGAACGGGUGAGUAACACGUGAGUAACCUGCCCCCUUCUUCUGGAUAACCGCAUGAAAGUGUGGCUAAUACGGGAUAUUCUGGGUCUGUCGCAUGAUGGGUCUGGGAAAGAUAUUGUUUCGGUGGGGGAUGGGCUCGCGGCCUAUCAGCUUGUUGGUGGGGUGAUGGCCUACCAAGGCGGUGACGGGUAGCCGGCCUGAGAGGGUGGACGGUCACACUGGGACUGAGACACGGCUCAGACUCCUACGGGAGGCAGCAGUGGGGAAUAUUGCACAAUGGGCGCAAGCCUGAUGCAGCGACGCCGCGUGAGGGAUGGAGGCCUUCGGGUUGUGAACCUCUUUCGCCAGUGAAGCAGGCCUGCCUCGUUUGUGGGUGGGUUGACGGUAGCUGGAUAAGAAGCGCCGGCUAACUACGUG
rnacentral:rRNA from 1 species